GGUGGCAUGGCUGAGUGGGUAAGGACGCUGGAUUUGAAAUCUGGAUGUCCCAGGUUCAAAUCCUCACCCUACCA